rnacentral:rRNA from 1 species
AGUGAACGCUGGCGGUAGGCCUAACACAUGCAAGUCGAACGGCAGCACAGUAAGAGCUUGCUCUUACGGGUGGCGAGUGGCGGACGGGUGAGGAAUACAUCGGAAUCUACUUUUUCGUGGGGGAUAACGUAGGGAAACUUACGCUAAUACCGCAUACGACCUACGGGUGAAAGCAGGGGAUCUUCGGACCUUGCGCGGUUGAAUGAGCCGAUGUCGGAUUAGCUAGUUGGCGGGGUAAAGGCCCACCAAGGCGACGCUCCGUAGCUGGUCUGAGAGGGGGAUCAGCCACACUGGAACGGAGACACGGUCCAGACUCCUACGGGAGGCAGCAGUGGGGAAUAUGGGACAAGGGGCGCAAGCCUGAUCCAGCCAUGCCGCGUGGGUGAAGAAGGCCUUCGGGUUGUAAAGCCCUUUUGUUGGGAAAGAAAAGCAGCAGGUUAAUACCCCGCUGUCCUGACGGUACCCAAAGAAUAAGCACCGGCUAACUUCGU